GAUAGAACAAUGUAGGCAAGGGAAGUCGGCAAAAUGGAUCCAUAACCUCGGGAAAAGGAUUGGCUCUAAGGGCUGCGCCCGAGGGUCCCAAUCCCGAACCUAUCGCUUGUCGGUGAACUGUUCGAGCUGCUCUUAAGGCGAGAGCGGGUCGACGCGUGUCGGCCAGGGAACGGACUGGGAACAGCCUCUUCAGAGGCCUUCCCUAGGCGUUGAACAAUCGACUAAGAACUGGUACGGACAAGGGGAAUCUGACUGUUUAAUUAAAACAAAGCAUUUUGAGGAUGCUCACGCAAUAUGAUUUCUGCCCAGUGCUCUGAAUGUCAAAGUGAAGAAAUUCUACCAAGCGCGGGUAAACAGCGGGAGUAACUAUGACUCUCUUAAGGUAGCCAAAUGCCUCGUCAUCUAAUUAGUGACGCGCAUGAAUGGAUUAACGAGAUGCCCACCGUCCCUGUCUACUAUCCAACAAAACCAGGGACAAGGGAACAGGCUUGGGGGAAUCAGUAAGGAAAGAAGACCCUGUUGAGCUUAACUCUAGUCCGACUUUAUGAAAUUACUUAAGAGGUGUAGGAUAAGUGGGAGCCUUAACCGGCAACGGUGAAAUACCACUACUUUUAACAUUAUUUUACUUAUUCCAUGAAUCAGAAGUAGGGCUACGCCCUUCUUUUUGGACCCAAGUUUGGCUGGGGUGGCACAUCUGUUAAAAGAUAACGCAGGUGUCCUAAGAUGAGCUCAACGAGAAUAGAAAUCUGGUGUGGAACAAAAGGGUAAAAGCUCGUUUAAUUCUAAUUUCCAGUAUGAAUACAAACUACGAAAGCAUAGCCUAUCGAUCCUUUAGACCUUUGGAAUUUGAAACUAGAGGUAUCAGAAAAGUUACCACAGGGAUAACUGACAUGUGGUAGCCAAGCGUUCAUAGCAAUGUUGCUUUUUAAUCCUUCGAUGUUGACUCUUCCUAUCAUUGUGAAGCAGAAUUCACCAAGUGUUGGAUUGUUCACCCAUGAAUAGGGAAUAUGAGCUAGGUUUAGACAGUUAUGAGACCGGUUAGUUUUACCCUACUAAUGAUUAUGUUGCAAUGCGAAUUCAACCUAGUACGAGAGGAACAGUUAAUUCGCAUAACUGGUCAUUGCGCUUGGUUGAAAAGCCAGUGGUGCGAAGCUACCUUGCGCUGUAUUAUGACUGAACGACUCUAAGUCAAAAUCCGGGCCAGAAUCGACGCAUUGUCCACCGGUCGUUUGCCAACCAGCAGUAGGGGCCCUCCAGCCCCCAAAAGCAUGUUUCAUUGGCUAAGCCCUUACGGUGGACGAGCCACGCAGGCCGCCUUGAAUUACAAUUUUCAUCGGGCGGCGGACUGAAUCCUUUGCAGACGACUUAAAUACGCGAUAGGGUAUUGUAAGUGGCAGAGUGGCCUUGCUGUCACGAUACACUGAGAUUUAGCCCUUCGUUGCUCUGAUUC
rnacentral:ncRNA from 1 species